CCUACUAUAAUACCCCUAAUGGCUAAGGAGUUGGUCUUGUAACCUAAAGGUCGCAGGUUCGAUUCCCUGGUAGGA
rnacentral:tRNA from 1 species